UCGGUUGGCCGGGUGGGUCAGAGUGUCGGGCUACUAAUCAGCAGGCCGGCCGGGCCGCGAGUUCGAAUCUCGCCAGCAGAA